rnacentral:rRNA from 1 species
UAUCUCGAAAAUAAAAGAUCUAAAUAAAUCUUAAAGUUUUUGUAUCAAAACAAUUUAAAAGAUUUGUUUAGGAGUAAAAUGUUAAUCGUUUUUAUUAAUAUCUAGUAAUUUUAGAAAUAAAUUUAGUUUAGGGUUUUGAGGAGCUGCUUAUUUUGAUAAAUCCAUAUAUAAUAAGGGAUAAGCUUUAUUGUAAGAUUAUAAGAAGAAUAAUUUAAAGUUUCUAAGUAGGCUUAGGAUUAGCUAUUAUAUAAUGUUAUAAAAAAGAGAUUUUAUAGUAAGAUUUUUUUUUCUUUUAGAUUUAUAAAAUUAAGUGUAAAAUUGUGAAAUUAUUGAAAAUAUGAUAAUAUUAGUAGAAUUAGAUAAUUUUUUUUUGUAUAUUAUUUUUUAAAAAUUAUUGUGAAAGAACUCAGCAAAUAAGGUUUCCGAAUGUUUAACAAAAACAUUUCCUCUUGAAAAUAGGAGGUAAGACCUGCUCACUGAAAAUUUAAAGAGCCGCAGUAUAUUGACUGUGCUAAGGUAGCAUAAUCAUUAGUUUAUUAAUUGUAGACUGGUAUGAAUGGUUAAACGAGAAAUCAGCUUUUUUCAUAGUAUAAUUUGAAUUUUAUUUUUUAGUGAAAAAGCUAAAAUUUCUUAGAAAGACGAGAAGACCCUAUAGCUUUUAUAGUUUAAAAUAAUUUUCUAAAAGUAGUUUUGUUUUAGGGAAAAUUUUUUGAUUAUUUUGUUGGGGCGACAUAUAGAUAAGAAAAACUCUU